GGGAAAACAGCAGACCAGGGCUGUAUUUAUUGGGGGUGUGAGUGGCGCGCUGUAGGCUGUGGGAUGGUAGGCAGAGUGUAAGGUGUUGCUGUUAGGUGUGGUGGGGUUUCCAGAAAUGGAAGAGCAUGCAUAGAGAAAAAAAAAAAAAAGAGGGAGAGAUGGAAGGAUUGGUCAUGCGCAAGAAUUACAGCCGGGCACAAAGGAUCCAAACGGGAAUCUCAAGACACGGUGUUAGUCAGUUAGACGGACCGCAGGCCGUUGGAGGCAGCUUAGAAAUCUCUUACAUCUGGAAGAGCCAUAAUUCACGGGAUUUGGCCCAACAGCCGUGACAGGCAUUGGGGCGGCCAGCAGCAACUGUCUCCCGUGUUAGCGGCGAGUGUGUGAGAGGGAGACGGCGAGUGAGAGACAAAGAGUGACAAAUACACAGCGUGCGUCCACUUGGACCUGCAUGUGUGCGCAGUAACCGGGUAUGUUACGAAAGUACGGCACCGCGCGUUAAGCUACUUCCUGCAAGACCGGUAGUCCACGACACUUAUUACAUUAUUUCACAGCUGUUGUUACUUUGUGGAUCAACACAUAGCGUGUCGCAUUACUAUAUUUGAUGUGAUGUCAGUCAGCAUCAUCGACACACACGUAACAAUGCAUCAAUCAUUUUGAUCCAAUAACAAAAAUCUAACAAUAGUGUGUAACAACAUUAGACUUGAAAAGGGGACCAUUUGGCAUCGUUUGUAUUUUUUAUACCUUUGUUUUAUUUUUCCUUAUUCAACAUACUGCAUAUUUUACUUGAGCAAAAGUUCUAGACAUUUCUUCUACCAGAUGUCGUACAAACUCUCACUAAAUUGUGCAAUCCGUGAGAAGAAAAAAGAAAAGGUUUUUCUGAGACGUGUAAUAAAAAAAAAAAGAAAUCCACAAUGUUGUCCAUGUAUCCGGCAAUGUGCACAAACGAUUAUACACUUUCGCACACACGUAUGCACACACACACACUCAUCCGAAAGACAUGCGGCAGAAACAAAGCAGCGGCGCCCGUGUGUUUCAUGGCGUGCCAGAGGCUGCCUGCGUCGGCCCUAAAUAUUACACACAGACAGUAGCUAUCACUUCCAAGCCUGAAAUCCCACAUUCCACAUUCCUGAUUCCAGCGGCUCGCCUGCUAAGCUGGGCACCACAUGAAGAGCCAUUGUUAGAGAGAGACGGGUCAUGUGUCUCUCUCGCUCUGUGUCUGUCUGUCUGUCUGUCUGUCUGUCCCGGCCCUCCUCCUCCUCCUCCUCCUCUCGCUCGCUGUCAUAUAGUCUCCGUCUGUGACUCUCUGGCUGCGUCUGUCUAUCCGUUCCUCCCUCUGUCGUUUUAUCGCUCUUAUUCCUUCUGUCCCUCACUCCGCUUUGUUUAGUUCAUUCCGUGCCCUUCUCAGCCUCCCGUUUCCCACUUACUUUUCUUUCUGCUGCCCCCCCCCUCUUCUCUGUCUCUCCUUCCCUCUCUUUCAGUCUCCAGAUAUUCAUGUAGAGAUUUUCUCACAUGUUAGAUAUAGAUUUACGACCCCAGCCAGAUCCCUGUAGCCACUAAAUUUGAUACCAUGCACUAAGCCGCAUUGUCUUUUAUGUGUGCUUGGGCUCGUCUGUUUGUGUGCAACUGUGGGCUGCUAUGUAUGUGUGUGUCUGUGUGUUCAUGCAUUACAAGGUGGAGGCGGUUGACUUUUAAAGGGUUAGCUUGGCUGUGGUGGGCACAGAGGUAGAAUUUACAGUUUAUUGAAGCACGGAAGGCAGGUUUGCAGAUGCGUGUUCACGUGUUUGAGAGAGAGAGAGAGAGCCUGUGGGUGCCAGGUGACCAGGCUAACCUCUUGGCUGGUGUUUUGGAUUUAGGAUAGGACUUUGGAUAGCGGUGAGAAAUAAAAGGAAAAGGAAUGCUUUUUCAAUUACAGAUCAGAACAAAGGCAAGAGCGAAAGGAAAGAUGAGUUAUUGGCUUCUCACAUAUCGCGGUUUUUUUUCAGACAGGCGCAUUCUUACAAUCUGAUCUUGAUUUUGACUUUCAGAACAUUUUGUACUUGAGUCCAUCAUUCUGUUCGGCUGUUAUAAUUAUUCAUGUCGUCUGUCAUGAAGAUUUGUAUGAAGCAGAAGAAGUGUGAGAAGCAUGAAAAAUGCAUGCCGCAUGUUUUCGGUGCAACUUGUCUAACGACGUGAGCUCCUCGCGCAUUUUGACAUCACACUAUUGAGCUGUAUCUGCGAGCGCUAAAAUGCACACAGAAGUGGGUGCAAAAAUAGAACAUGGAAAGGAUGGAGUGUGAAGACAAAGCAGACAAACACCUGUGGAAGACCGUCGCCGCGCAUGUUACUAAUUCUGACAGUAGUCAGUUCAAAGGCACUCGUCCUCUGCCAUGCAUAUUUUAUUGGCUGGAGGUGGUUUUUGUUGUGUAUUCAUAUCGGUUUUUCGUUUCUUCAACAUUCCACAAGUUGUCAAGAGUGGGGGGGAGUUUUUUUUUGUUGAAAAACGCAUCGUGGAGUACUGAGGAUUGUAUUAUUGUUGUUUGUCUGUGUGAUGUGAGAUGCUAUUCGCCUUUUGAUAUUUCGUAAGUGAAAUGAGAGCUGAAGGUGUGUUUGUUGCAGAUGCUUGAGUGUGCAUGUACUGUUGUUACCUCAAACAGUUUAUCCGUCAGUCAGACAGUAUGUGCACAUUUCCUAGCGCUCGUGCAUGUGUUUGCAUGCAGGUAUUGCAUCCAAGUGUGCGCGUGUGUGUGUGUGUGUCCGCAUCCACACAUCUAAAAGCCAUAUCUGGCUUCAGAUCAAAUGGUGUAUGAAGAAGGGGAAUGACAGACAGAGAAAGUGAUGGCUCUUUAAUGUUGCCUAUCCACUCCCGAACCCAAAUAUAAGACCAACACACGGAAUAGACGUGUUUUAAGCAAAAAGGAGUGACAUGAAACACUUAUGUAGAAAAGCUCUGAACAUGACGUCGGCUUUGAGGUGGAGGAGAAAAUGUCUUGCCAAACACAAAGAAAAAGGGUAAAUUGGAUGGAAGGAAGAGAGAAAAGGCAGGGGCACAAAAUGAAACAGUGACAUGCACUUUAUUCUUUGUUUGUGCGCGUCAAGGUACAGCGAUACUUUGUUUUUAGCUGAAUGGCGAAUGUUUUAUCCAGCUCACCUUUUUUUCUUUCUUUCUAAAGCGUCUAAACCUUCACUAUCAUCAC
ensembl:lncRNA